rnacentral:rRNA from 1 species
GACAGAGGGUGCAAACGUUGUUCGGAUUUACUGGGCGUAAAGCGCGUGUAGGCGGCUUGGCAAGUCGGAUGUGAAAGCCCACGGCUCAACCGUGGAAGCGCAUCCGAAACGGCCUCGCUCGAGUCUCGGAGAGGAAGGUGGAAUGCUUGGUGUAGAGGUGAAAUUCGUAGAUAUCAAGCAGAACACCUGCGGCGAGGGCGGCCUUCUGGACGAUGACUGACGCUGAGACGCGAAAGCGUGGGGAGCAAACAGG